rnacentral:tRNA from 1 species
AGACGUCCUCGGACGGGCGGCGUCGGACUGAAAAUCGGAAGGUCGGCGGUUCGACCCCGCCCCUGGCCACCA